UGAAAUCGUUUAAAUAGUCUUAUUAUAUAUUUGGUUGCUUGUAUUCUGCGAAUAUUUGUACUAUUUUAAUGAAUACGCUGUUAUACACAGCUGUUAUAAAUAAGUUUUGGAACAAUGAAAAUAAUCUAAAACCCCUUCCAGACGACACAAUUUUUCGUCCAAUUUGACUAGAUUGGCAAUCAAAUUGGGUCGUCUAGACGGAAAUAUGAAAUUCAAGGUCAUUGGGUGGUCAGGAUCGGCCGAUUUGCGAUUGCCUUGGGAUUGCCCGAUCAAAUUGGGUGGUGUUGACGCUAAUUGGCCAAUUUUUACUUGUAAUCUCUUCCUGAUGCUAGAUAUUUAAGCGUUACUAUUAAUCUCUCCUCAGGACUAACGGCUUCUCUCAUAACAGUGUCUUGUUUAGUAAUGUAUGGGCUUACUAGAGAUAAUAAUUCAUUAAAAGUGUCAUGGUCCAUCCGCAUAAAAUUUGUGAAAUCGACACUGUCCAGUUCUCUAACAAUAUUUAUAUGACUUAGGCGAUUUCUUUUAAGCAACCAUUCUUUGCUCCAUAUCCUUUUUCUUUUUCUUUCUUCUAAAUUUGUAGUUACAGCCAAAAUCAGCCCCAAUUUUGUUUUUUUAUUAAGAGGCAUGUUGCAAAAUAAAAGUCCAGUCAGUAACGGCAACGGAGCAGAACUAGAAUUGGCGAUUUAAUUGUGUACGUGUGGAUAGAGGAUUAAAUUGGGCCCGAUUCAAUCGGCAAUCAAAUCGGCUGAUUAAAUUGUGUCGUCUGGAAGGGGUUUAACAAACAACAGUUCGAAGAAAUGAAACGCGCUUGUCAGUUGUCACAAAUUAUUAUUGUUGCGAUUUGUAUCUCUAUUUGUAUUUUCGUGAAGAUCGUUUAAGUAUUUGAUACAAAUAUGAAUGCAGAGAACGAACAAGUAAACAAAAAGAGCCGUGGAGAAAACUGGAUCCAAGAAGAAAAGGACCUGUUUCUAGAAAUAAUGCGCACCUCAUCGUCGAUCAUAGAAAACAAGCAAACGGAUACAAAUACAAACAAAAAGAAAAAUGCAGAAUGGAAGAAAAUUCAAAGCAAAUUAAGAGAAUUAACUGGGAGGUCACGAGACAUCGCUCAGCUAAAAGGGUUCUGGAGGAGAACGAAGUUGACAGCAAAGAAGAACGUGUCGGAGCACAAGAGGGCUAUACAAUCCACUGGUGGGGGACUUCGGCCCCCGUCUCCGUCUCAAGAGGAUUUAAUUAUAAUGCAGAUAUGCCCAAAAGACUUUGUAAAUGAGUCAAACAAAUUUGAUAGUGAUUGAAUAUCUCAAAAUGCAGCUCCCAUAUUAGUAGAGAUUAAAUAAUGAGGCACAGCAAAACAACACUAUAUAUGAUAUAGAAUUAAAUGAGACUGUUCACAACAAUGAACUAGAAUUUGUGAAUGAAAUUAUUACUGUGGCAGAUGUACAUAAUCCUGAGGUAAACUUAGGUCCAAAUAAAAACACAACUUGAUGAGGACAAUCUGGAUAAACAAAAAAUGAAGGUGAAAACUAAUAAAAUCAAAGAGUAUUCUGAUGAUGAUAAGACUAAGCAUUGCAAAAAUAAAAUCGGCCACAAAGAAAUGAUUGUCGCCAGUAAUACAAAUUACAAAAAGCGUAGCUUGGAAAUGCUGGAGGAAGAGCACAAAAUAAAAAUGAAAUACCACAAACUUAUUCACCAGGAGCUGCGCCAUAAAAUUGAAAUAGACAUUUUAUUACUUGAGAAAGAGAAGAAGGAAUUAGAAAUAAAACUGUUGAAAUCUUAGAUUAGUUAUUUAUUGUAAUAUUUAGUUAUAAGUUAUUUCAAUUAAAAAUGCUGGUUAAUAAAAUUAUUUCUUAUUAUUGCUCCUCU